UACGGGGGGGGCAAGCGUUGUCCGGAAUUAUUGGGCGUAAAGAGCUCGUAGGCGGCUUGUUGCGUCGGCUGUGAAAUCCCGAGGCUCAACCUCGGGUCUGCAGUCGAUACGAGCAAACUAGAGUGUUGCAGGGGAGACUGGAAUUCCUGGUGUAGCGGUGAAAUGCGCAGAUAUCAGGAGGAACACCGGUGGCGAAGGCGGGUCUCUGGGCAACAACUGACGCUGAGGAGCGAAAGCGUGGGGAUCAAACAGG
rnacentral:rRNA from 1 species